AAUAAAAUGAAAAAAUGGGUUAGGACCGUGAGUACUCCAUCCCUCACUCACAAAGAAAAUCACGCCAUUCUUCACGCCUCCAUUCCCUCUUCCCUCUCUUCUUCUCUCCCCUCUCCCUCACUGCUGAGCCGCCACUACCACCAAGGGCAGCAGACGGCAGCCGUGACUCACCCCAAGCAGCAGACGGCAACCGCAACUCACCCCAAGCAGCAGACAGCAACCGUGAGCCAUCCCAAGAGCAGCUGCUGUUGCGUUUUUCCACCUUCAGGAGUGGCGGCUGCCCCACACGACCACUGGUCCACCACUACACUUACCACUCCUCUCUUCACCCCUUUUCUCUUGUUCACCUAAGUAAGCCAUAUCCUCUUCCCUAAUUGAUUUUCUCUUGUCUUUAAUUGAAAUUGUUAUCAAGUUUAUGAGUUUAGUAUUGAUUUUUGUAUUAUUUUUAUUGAAUUUUUUUGUGGAUAAGAGUUUAAUGGAUGAAUUGAACAUAUUUAUGACUUACUGUUUGAAGUGUGAUUAGAAAUUAUGAGUUGUGUUGAUUGUGUUAUAGUUUCUUUGAAUUUUACUGAGUAACAAUUAAAGGUGUUAUCUUUGAAAUUAGUAAUAGUGUGGACUUUUAUGUACAUUAUGGUGUUGUAUUAGUUUAUUGAUUCUUGCUAUGGAUAUAUAUUAAAAGUAUUAUCUUUGAACAUGAAAUGACUUAGGGUUUGGAUUUAGAAAUGAAAUUAUUAAUGACGUGUGUUCCAUGCUAUAUUUUGGUGGUGUGAUGAUUGAUUGGAUAACCUUGCAAGUUGUUUUAAGACUUAGUUUGGUUAAAUAUUAUUGUGAUAGAUUUAGUUGGCAAUGGUUAUGAUUAGAGUUGAAUAUAGAAGUGGUGUGGUUGUUAAACUGGGAAUAAUAGUUGCUAAUUGUGUAGUUUGAUUGUUGCGAAUUACAAGUGCUCUUAUUUGGUUGUUAUUGAAGUCAUAAUGCAUAAUUUUAGUAAGCCAAGAGCACAAUGUCAACUUAUCGUCGAUGGUUGCUAAAGUUACUUGUCGUGUUGUUUUGAUUAUAAUUUUUUCUAGCUUUGAUGAAUGUAACAAAUGAUAUCGCAAUUCGAUAUUCUAAGAUUUGCCUUAUCAUUAUAUAAGUGUUAUAUUAAAUUUGUAAGGCUUAGUUGUGAUUAGUUAUUUUUUGUUAACGCGAACCGGUACACUCAAAAAUUAGUUGAUGAAAAGGAACGAUUCACAUAUGCUUUUACUUUUAAAUUGGUGAAAGUUGUGUUGAGUUAAUGAUUUUGACUUGUAUUGAAUGAGUUGUGUGCGUGCUAGAACAAUCGAAAACUCAUGUUGAAUGGGUGAUAGUGGUUACUUAGCCAUUUAGUUGGUAUGACAAAGUAGUUAAGGGAACUUAUUAGUUCUAUUUCUAACUUCUAUAGGUUCCCAGUUCAUAAAAAGGAUGUAAAACCUCGUUCUGUUUGAUUAUUGUGGCUCUUUUAGUCGUGCGGUGACUCUUACAGGAGGGCACAGUGACACGACUCCGGAGUCAAAAAUGCCAAUAUAAACUAGUUCGUAGGCCUUAACAGGUCAAGAGAAGUCAAUCGAAAGAGCCAUAUUAGUUUUGAGCAACGAUUUUGAUGAAUGGUAUAAGUCGAGGGUGACUAACCGUCAUUUCUAUCAGCAGCACCAUGUCCGGACCUGACUCGGGGCUGUCUUUCAACAAUUCACGACGACCACCAUGAAAAUGAAGAUCGACAUCGUUCCUCAUCAAGUAAAUAAUUAAAAUAUUGUUUCCGAUCAGUAACAUAAAACAUUGGAGCAUGAAUUUUAGACAGUAGAUUAGUAAUAG